rnacentral:rRNA from 1 species
GUCAGCGACCAUACCACGUAGAAAGCACCGGUUCUCAUCCGAUCACCGAUGUUAAGCUACGUUGGGUCCGGUUAGUACUUUCAUGGGUGACCGGCUGGGAAUAGCGGGUGUCGGACU